UAUUUUUGUAUCAUCUUGUAUAUGUUACAGAACAUUGCUGGUUAGCCCCUUAUUGCUGUAAAGGUCUAUUUCCAUUAUCACGUUUAAGUACUUCAGAAGAAGCCAGGCAUUAUGUAUUUUGAAUACUUACUAAAAUAUCUUGACCCUUAAAAAAGAUUUUGGUGUCUUUUGCUAUCUCUUCCCCUACUUUAAACUGGGGUCAAUAACUUUUGGGAUUACAUGAAACCUAAAGAACUGGGAAAAUGAGCCGGAGAGAAAAACGUACUUAAUUUUCAGAUAACAAUGCAGUAAAGAAAAGGACUGGAUAAGUCAAGAUAGUAGAAGCAUGGAAAGAUUGCCUUGCCCUCUCUAAACGCUUGGAGCAAUUGUUUCAUUAAGAAAUGGAAGAAACAAUGCAUUUUGUUAAGUUUAUUGUAUUUCUGUGCACAGGAAGGGAUGAAACUGCAAAGAAAAGCAGCAGCAUCCAUCAUCACAAGUAUUUACUAAUGUAGAAGUUAUAACUUCCUAUGUAACUCUGAAAAUUUUGUCUUCUAAUGCUUUUUUUCUUUUUUUUCUAGAAUGAGUUCACUGUGGCAUUCAAAUGCAGCCAAAAUUCAAGCGGCUAGAAAGUACUGGCUUGGAAAUCUAUCUAUUAAAAUAUUAUUAAGGGAUUAUUCUGUCAGAGCCAGAGAAGGCUAAAAGAUAUGAGCACACAAAAUUACAGCCUUGCAAUUUAUAGGUAAUUUAAUGCUGUUAUAUUUCAGUUUUUUGGAAAAGCUUAAAAAAUGUUUGAUCAUGCCAAGAUGAUUAUACAGAUACAGUUUUCUUUAAUAGAGACCUUGAGGUCUUGAAAUUAUAUUCUUCAUCCCCAUUUUAAGCAAUGUCAUUUCUUAUUUAAAAGUACAGUAUCAUAAAAGAAUUCUGUCUGAUAUUUAGAAAAUACUCCAUUUAUGCACACAUGCCUACGUAUCUGGGCACAGGCACAUGAAAUAUGCUGACCUUUAAUUUUCAUAUAUUGUGUUCAUCAUAGGUGAUUUCCAGUACAUACUGUUAUCUGUAAAAUUAUUAAGAGCCUGACAUUUAUGGAUGAGUAAAUCUGAAAAUCCUUUUUGAUACAUACCCGGUCGCUAACCAAUUAUGCAACUAAACAAUGUAACAAUGAGUUUACUGAACAACAGAAAGGAAAUGUGAAUAAACACAGUUAUGUUAUCCA
rnacentral:lncRNA from 1 species